rnacentral:rRNA from 1 species
GAUGAACGCUGGCGGCGUGCCUAAUACAUGCAAGUCGAGCGAACAGAUGAGGAGCUUGCUCCUCUGACGUUAGCGGCGGACGGGUGAGUAACACGUGGAUAACCUACCUAUAAGACUGGGAUAACUUCGGGAAACCGGAGCUAAUACCGGAUAAUAUAUUGAACCGCAUGGUUCAAUAGUGAAAGACGGUUUUGCUGUCACUUAUAGAUGGAUCCGCGCCGCAUUAGCUAGUUGGUAAGGUAACGGCUUACCAAGGCAACGAUGCGUAGCCGACCUGAGAGGGUGAGCGGCCACACUGGAACUGAGACACGGCCCAGACCCCCAGGGGAGGCAGCAGUAGGGAAUUUUCCGAAAUGGGGGAAAGCCUGCCGGAGCACCGCCGGGUGAGUGAUGAAGGGCUUCGGAUCGUAAAACUCUUUUAUUAGGGAAAAACAAAUGUGUAAGUAACUAUGCACGUCUUGACGGUACCUAAGCAGAAAGCCACGGCUACCUACGU